ACGGGAGGCAGCAGUGAGGAAUAUUGGUCAAUGGGCGGAAGCCUGAACCAGCCAAGUCGCGUGAGGGAAGACGGCCCUACGGGUUGUAAACCUCUUUUGCGCGGGGGUAAAGUCGGGGACGUGUCCCCGAUUGCAAGUACCGCGCGAAUAAGGAUCGGCUAACUCCGUGCCAGCAGCCGCGGUAAUACGGAGGAUCCGAGUGUUAUCCGGAUUUAUUGGGUUUAAAGGGUGCGUAGGCGGGACGUCAAGUCAGUGGUGAAAUGGUGCGGCUCAACCGUAGCAUCGCCGUUGAAACUGGGGUCCUUGAGUGCGAAUGAGGUACGCGGAACGUGUCAUGUAGCGGUGAAAUGCAUAGAUAUGACACAGAACACCGAUUGCGAAGGCAGGAUACCAUACCAUAUCUGACGCUCAGGCACGAAAGCGUGGGGAUCGAACAGGAUUAGAUACCCUGGUA
rnacentral:rRNA from 1 species